UGAGGAAUAUUGGUCAAUGGGCGAGAGCCUGAACCAGCCAAGUAGCGUGCAGGAUGACGGCCCUAUGGGUUGUAAACUGCUUUUAUAUGGGAAUAAAGUGAGGGACGUGUCCCUUAUUGCAUGUACCAUAUGAAUAAGGACCGGCUAAUUCCGUGCCAGCAGCCGCGGUAAUACGGAAGGUCCAGGCGUUAUCCGGAUUUAUUGGGUUUAAAGGGAGCGUAGGCUGUUUGUUAAGCGUGUUGUGAAAUGUAAGAGCUCAACUUCUAGAUUGCAGCGCAAACUGGCAGAAUUGAGUGCGCACAACGUAGGCGGAACUCAUGGUGUAGCGAUGAAAUGCUUAGAUAUCAUGGCGAACUCCGAUAGCGAAGGCAGCUUACGGGAGCGAAACAGAAACUAACGCUCGAAGGCGCGGGUAUCGAACAGG
rnacentral:rRNA from 1 species